ACAGCGUGAGCUCACGGAAUCUUCACUGUUGUCAGAUUCCAUCAUUGCCGGCGUAUUACAGAUGAGAGAACGAGGCACAGAGAGGGUGAACGGGUGUCCUGGGUCACAAAGUGAGGGAGUGUCGGAGCAGGAUUUGAGUCCAGGCAGCUGGGCAUGGGGAUGGGUGGGCAGGAGCUGCUUCCAGCCACAGGCACUGGGCUUGUUCCUUCCACCAUAUCUUAAGGCUUCUGAUACCCUGAUACCCUGGGGUGACCUGGAAACCCUCAUUUAGAAGUCGCUCUUGUGAAAGGUGGAGUGUCCAUUCCCGGCAGUAAACUAGAGGAAGUCUACUGCAUCGUCCCCAGGCAGCUCCCCAGGGAUUUCAGGACAGUCGCUGUGCACCUGGAGAAUGCUUCUUCCCACUGGAGCCGCCUCCAGCAUCUCCAUCAUCUCCCUGCUUUUUCUCUUAUUGCUGGGAGACCGUAGGAGAGGCCCAAGGCAUUCUCUGCUUCCAGACAACUCAAGACCCACCAUGCUGACUGGAGCCCCAGUCUAGAAGAUGAACAUAAUAUCAGUACAUUAAAAACCCUAGUACUCAGAAA